UACGUAGGGGGCGAGCGUUGUCCGGAAUCAUUGGGCGUAAAGCGCGUGUAGGCGGCCCGGUAAGUCCGCUAUGAAAGUCCAGGGCUCAACCCUGGGAUGCCGGUGGAUACUGUCGGGCUCGAGUCCGGAAGAGGCGAGUGGAAUUCUUGGUGUAGCGGUGAAAUGCGUAGAUAUCAAGAGGAACACCUGAGGUGAAGACGGGUUGCUGGGCUGACACUGACGCUGAGGCGCGAAAGCCAGGGGAGCAAACGGG
rnacentral:rRNA from 1 species